AGCUUUGCGCAGUGGCAGCAUCAUAGCCAAUGAGGUUUAUCCGAGGCGUGAUUAUUGCUAAUUGAUCCCUAAGUCAAAUGAG
rnacentral:snRNA from 1 species